ACGAACGCUGGCGGCAGGCUUAACACAUGCAAGUCGAACGCCCGUCUUCGGACGGGAGUGGCAGACGGGUGAGUAACGCGUGGGAACGUACCCUUUGGUUCGGGAUAACCCGGGGAAACUCGGGCUAAUACCGGAUACGCCCUAACGGGGAAAGGUUUACUGCCGAAGGAUCGGCCCGCGUCGGAUUAGCUAGUUGGUGGGGUAACGGCCUACCAAGGCGACGAUCCGUAGCUGGUCUGAGAGGAUGAUCAGCCACACUGGGACUGAGACACGGCCCAGACUCCUACGGGAGGCAGCAGUGGGGAAUAUUGGACAAUGGGCGCAAGCCUGAUCCAGCCAUGCCGCGUGAGUGAAGAAGGCCUUAGGGUUGUAAAGCUCUUUCAGCGGGGACGAUAAUGACGGUACCCGCAGAAGAAGCCCCGGCUAACUUCGU
rnacentral:rRNA from 1 species